ensembl:lncRNA
CCUCAGUGGCGGCCUGAUGGAGGAGAGGAGGAAACAGCAGGGGGCAGACAGGACACUUCGAUCCUCUCACUUUGAACGCCGGGUGGAUAUGAUGUCUGACGGACGCAGACAGAUCUCAUGUAUUCAGCGCAUACUCGCACACAGCGGAGUGGACUGGCGAAUACAUUCGAUCCUCAGGGUAGAGGAGGAGAAGAAACUAAAGGGAUGACUUCAGCCACAAAGUCACUUUGACACAGCGAAUGAGGAAUCAGGUCUAUGGAACCCUUCUCUUCCCUUCUGUCAAAAGCCUGAGAGAGCAGACCAAAUGAAAAUAAGGAGCAUUUGUGGGCUAAGAGUGACAUUGGCCGAGAGGUGGAAUGGAGUGAUGGAAAGAGGAGCUUCGACUGAGAAUGAAGGCUGAUGGCUGCCACAUCACAUAGAAGUCCCACAUUCACGUAUAUCAAAAACAGCCAUGCAGCAAAUACCACAGACUCAUGCAAUACUGAAUCGUGGUUUGUUUUGACAUUAAAAUGAUUUAAGACAUUGAUUUAAUAUAGCAUUAUUCAACCUCAUGAUACAAUACAAUGGUAAUCGACAGAGGCAAGCGAGACUCUAAGUCUCUGACACAUGGAAGGGACAUUUCUUGUUUUUCUUAAGGGUAUUUAUGAGCGGGAGAAUAUGCACAAGUGAAAUAGAUUUGAAGUUCUGUAUUUUUAUAAUUGUCUUCUCUUGCUGCAAAGAUGAAGUCUUCUUGCUUAUGAGAGGUCACAAUCUUUGACCUUUCAUGCUCAUAAAAAUCACUAACUGUGAACCUGCUUGCAUCAUCUGAUUAUAAUAAUAAACAUAAACAAAAUAAUCA